rnacentral:RNase_P_RNA from 1 species
CGAGCAAAUCAGCUUAUCGCUACGAAAGUAGAGGAAAGUCCGGACACCACAGAGCAACAUAGCGGGUAACGCCCGUCCGUCGUAAGGCGAGGACAAGUGCAACAGAAAGAAUGUACGGGUAAUGCCGUAGUGAAAUCAGGUAAACUCUAUGUGGUGCAACACCGCGUAAACCAGCGUUAAGAGGGCUGCUCGCCCCAGUUGGAGGGUAGGUGGUUAGAGUUUGGUAGCAAUGCCAAACCCAGAUAAAUGAUAAGCACCUUUUUAAGGUACAGAAUCCGGCUUAUGAUUUGCUCUUUUU